rnacentral:lncRNA from 1 species
UUUUUCAGUCCUAAAGGCUCUAAGUAGAGAAGGAGCCAAUGCCAUGGACAGGGUGUUCAGCUUGGAUCCAAACCCUAGAAGACAAUGGAGCCCCAUUGUGACUGACACAGUGAGCCACUGGAUGGCACUGUGGAUCCAUGCAGAUGAAGGUACUUAUUAGUUGUUUUAUAUUUCUCUGUUUCAUACCACUAACGGUUCACUUCUUGAGAGGCCAGAUGAAGAACAUUAUGGAGGUUGAUGGAGAGUUUGACAAGAGAGGCUUCUGUGGACUGACAGUGGAAACCUUGUUGGAGCAGAUUGAAAAGUAACACAGAAAAUUGUGACUGCAAUACAGGUGAACUCCAUCCAAUGUGAAAUUCCGCCUACGUUCACAAUUCAAGAACCCUAGACUUUGAAUUGAAAGGUGCCCAGAAAGUAUCGUUGGACUGAGUGAGCGUCCGUGAUGGUUGGCUCUGAUGGAGAUAAAACGUACCCCUAAUUCAUGUCACAAAUCUGUGCUGUGGAACAAGACAGGAUUUUGAGGAUCUAAUGAACAUCACGCACACUAUUCUG